AAAAAAACAGUUGAACAAUGUUUGCAGCAUGAGUCUGUGAAUGAAGAGAAGUGAAAGUCCUUGAACCAAAGGCAUGCUGAGUUGGCACCUCUUGCAGCCAUUUACCAAGAAAUUCAGAAGGCUGAACAAGCAAUUGAAGAAUUAGAAUCAAUGUUUAAAAGUCUGAAUGAACAAGAUGAAAAGCAGUUACAAGAACUUGCACUAGAAGGAAGGCAAACCAUUGAUCAAAAAAUCAAUACAUUAUAUACAGUGAGCUUUUCCAGAAUCUAGUGCCAAAAGAAAAAUAUGACAACAAUGAUGUUAUUUUAGAGGUGAUAUCUGGAAGAACUACUGGAGGUGAUAUCUGCUAACAAUUUACCUGAGAAAUAUUUGACAUCUAUCAGAAUUAUCCAUGCUACAAACAUUGGAAAUUUGAACUUCUGAAUUAUACACCAGCAGAUUAUGGUGGACCGCGUCAUGCAGCAGCUCAAACUUCUGGUGACAAUGUCUAUAAGCAUUUGAAGUAUGAAGGUGGGAUUCACCGAGUUCAGCAAAUCCCUGAGGUGGGCCUGUCCUCAAGGAUGCAGCGUAUUCACACAAGAACAAUGUCAGUUAUUGUCCUUCCUCAACCAGAUGAGGUAGAUGUGAAAUUGGACCCCAGGAUUUGCGAAUAGAUACAUUUCGAGCAAAGGGAGCAGGAGGGCAGCAUGUUAAUACAACAGACAGUGCUGUCAGACUUGUCCAUAUCCCUACAGGGCUAGUAGUAGAAUGUCAACAAGAACGGUCACAAAUAAAAAAUAAAGAAAUAGCUUUGCGUGUGUUGAGAGCUAGACUCUACCAGCAGAUGAUUGAGAAGGACAAGCAUCAACAGCAAAGUGCCAGGAAACUGCAGGUGGGAACAAGAGCCCAGUCAGAGAGAAUCUGGACAUACAAUUUCACACAGGAUAGAGUCACUGACCACAGAAUAACAUAUGAAGUUCGUGAUAUUGAGGAAUUUUUAUAUGGUGAAAAAUGCCUGGAUCAGCUAAUUCAGAGACUGCUCCAAUCAGCAAAUGAAGAAGCCAUUGCUGAACUUUUGGAUGAAAACCUUAAAUCAGCAAAAUAAAUGCUGAUGUAUUAUUAUGUUAAUGAAAUGGACCUAUAUCAAGAAGCAGACUGAGGCAUGGAAAUCUUUGUGACUAUUUAUGAAGUAUAGCUCUGAGUGUAUAGUACUUACAAAUACAUUAA